CUUCGUUGUUUUCUUUCUUUUUAGGUGAAGCUUCUUCCAGUCAGUUCCCUGAUGAUCGCCUCCAAUUUAAUUUCCAUUAUCACCGAAGCCAUGGGCCCAUGAUAGCCGGUGACACUUCUGUGCUGGCCUCAGUUCUUUGCAGAAAGGAAGAGGAUUUAUGAGUUCGGAAGAUAGCUUCAGAGGGAACACCUCACAGCUCAGUUGAACCCAGCGAUACUUGGAGAAAGGAGCAGUCAGCACGGAGAGAAUGACAAGAUGUGCAGGCAGUGGAGCCAGGACAUCCCCCGGUCCACAGAAAGACUGGAAAG
ensembl:lncRNA